CGGGACUGGCGGGGCUCGAACCCGCAGCUCCGCCU
rnacentral:tRNA from 1 species